ACCAAUAUAGCCGGUACCAUUGAAGCAAAAUGUCUUACAGGUUCAGCAAAUUUUACAUAAUGUCUUACAAGUCCAAUUUAGCCAACGAUUAUAGCCAACGCCGUUGGAGAUGCUCUAAGAGAAUAUAAUUUCUAAAUGGAGUAAACACUUGAAAUAUCAGAUCCUAGAUGAGUAUAUUCUAAUUGCGGCAACUUCUUCAUUGAUUGAUAAUGAUGGAUGGAAUUAGGCUUUCUGGAAGUAAACUUUCUUAUACUAAACUAUUGUAAUAUAAAUUCCUAGUCAUAUAAAAUAUAUUAAUAUCCUUUUUUAUCUUCUGGCAAACAAGAAACUAGGAUUUAAAAUUACUUUGGGUACUCCAGUGGAAAACACAUUGAAAAUUAAAACCAACUUUAGUAUAACAGUGUCUUAUUCUAAUUCCCCAUUUCCCCCCGAUUGACAUGCCCAUCAGUUGUCUCCUAUUAAGAUGUUGAAAAUUCAGUAAUUUCUUGGUGAAAGUUCUGGUUUACUUGAACAUGAGUUUGUGCAGUUCGUGUUAAAGUCGUCUAGUUUUGUUGCGAUUUUCUAGCUCAAUUUUAAUCAUAAUAUAUCAAUUCAAAAAAUUUAGAAGUUUUCAGAGAAUUAAAUUAUGUUCCAAGGUACUUUUAUGAUUGAGUAUAGUCAUUAUAGACUGCAUACAAGAAUAUAAUUGCUUUCUAUAACAGUCCUUACUCAUGGUACAAGAAGUAGAGUCAGCGAGGAUAUAAAGAUGCACAGAUCUCUCUCAUAAAGGAUUAUAACUGAUCAGAGAUGCAUACUGAUUACCACAUUACUAGGUUAAAUUUGUCUCUACCUCUGACCCUUAAAUAAUAUAAUCUGAUUGUUGAGCAGUGUAUGUUGUCGUCAGUAGGAUCAUGCAAAAUAAUGCUUGCCCGGAGAUUGGGCCCGUUAAGUACCUCGGUGCAAGAGUAAGGUGCAGAGGCGGAUCUUAAAAGGGGCAAGAGGGGGCAACUGACCCCCCUUAAUUUUUUUGUUUGUUAAUAUUUUACAUAUUUUUAGGUUGUAAAAUUGAAAUUGACCCCCCUUAACUUCAUAGUCAGAUCCGCCACUGGUAAGGUGUAUGAUCUUUUUAACUCAAGACUCUUAAAGUUUUUGUGGUAGUUAGUUACCUCCUUCCUGAAUUCACCAUGUUCCUAUUGAUAGGGUUCAUUGGCUUUUAUCUUCCUGUGACACCUGUCUCUAUCACGUGUUUUUUCCUUGAGGGUUCGACGAUGGACAUACCAUGUUGUCUUUGCCCUGGUAAAUAGUUAGCGGGAAAGGUGAUUAGACGAGUCAGUGGGCCCUAUCAUUGCCCCCUGCCCCCUACUAAAGUACAUUCAAUGAAGUAGGGGGCAAUAACAGGGUCCAUUUUCAUACACUUCCCUCUGACUCGUCUAAGCACCCUCCCCGCUAACUAUUUAUCGGGGCAAAGACAGCGGGGUUUGUCUGUCAUCGACCCCUCCGGGUCACACAGAGGAAAAAACACGUACUCCCUCCGUCCCAAUUUAUGUGAACGGGGUUGACUUUCACGGAGAUUAAGAAAAAGGUAGUAAAUGUAGUUGAAAAGUGGGUAAAGUGGUGGGACCCAUCAAUAUUUAAUAAUAAAUUUGGGAUAGUGGAGGAAAGUAGUGGGUGUAAUAGUGUUUAUUAUAAGAGCAUCUCCAACCAUCUAAAACCCUUGGCUAAAAGGUGAGUUGACUUACUUAAAAUAAAAAAAUUUAGCCAACAGCUCCAAAAACUCAACUCCAACCAUGCUCACCUGUUGUCUAUAAAUUUAGCCAACCUCCUGUGGAUGGCUAAAUUUGUCGAACAUCUACAAGUCUGUAAGAAAAUCUGUAGGAAGAUCGUACAUCAUUUAUUACCAUAUUGAACUGAUAUAUUUUAUUUUAACAAUUUAAAAUAUUAAUAACAUACUAUUAUUAAAUUAUAGCCAACCAAUAUAGCCGGUACCAUUGAAGCAAAAUGUCUUACAGGUUCAGCAAAUUUUACAUAAUGUCUUACAAGUCCAAUUUAGCCAACGAUUAUAGCCAACGCCGUUGGAGAUGCUCUAAGAGAAUAUAAUUUCUAAAUGGAGUAAACACUUGAAAUAUCAGAUCCUAGAUGAGUAUAUUCUAAUUGCGGCAACUUCUUCAUUGAUUGAUAAUGAUGGAUGGAAUUAGGCUUUCUGGAAGUAAACUUUCUUAUACUAAACUAUUGUAAUAUAAAUUCCUAGUCAUAUAAAAUAUAUUAAUAUCCUUUUUUAUCUUCUGGCAAACAAGAAACUAGGAUUUAAAAUUACUUUGGGUACUCCAGUGGAAAACACAUUGAAAAUUAAAACCAACUUUAGUAUAACAGUGUCUUAUUCUAAUUCCCCAUUUCCCCCCGAUUGACAUGCCCAUCAGUUGUCUCCUAUUAAGAUGUUGAAAAUUCAGUAAUUUCUUGGUGAAAGUUCUGGUUUACUUGAACAUGAGUUUGUGCAGUUCGUGUUAAAGUCGUCUAGUUUUGUUGCGAUUUUCUAGCUCAAUUUUAAUCAUAAUAUAUCAAUUCAAAAAAUUUAGAAGUUUUCAGAGAAUUAAAUUAUGUUCCAAGGUACUUUUAUGAUUGAGUAUAGUCAUUAU
rnacentral:lncRNA from 1 species